AUGUGUUGUUACAAGAAUGAAAUGACACAAAAUGUACAAACCCAGGGCAGCCGUAGGAGGGCCGCCGUGGAACUUCUCACUUUGCCACUUCCCACACGUUGGCUCCGGCUGGCUCCGGCUGCCCUCCUGCCAGGCUGGCCCUCGAUCCCUCUGGGUCAUCCUGGCUCUCACUUCCUUCAAGUUUCAGCUCCGCAUUCAUCCAUCAACCACCGGCCGAGGCCGUCCUGGGUGCCAGGCACCAGGCCAGGGCCUGGAAACAGAGAUGAAUGGUGCCCCGACCCUGCCCUCCAGGAUCUCAUCGCUGGAGUGGAGAUCGAUUGCUGUAACUGGCUGAGGGAGAGCAGCGCGGAGCUGUUGCCGGAGUGGAGCAGGGGAACCUAGCCCGAGCGUGGGCCGCCAAGGACGCUUGCGGUUGCCCUGGCGGCGGGAGGGAAGAGGCUUCCCUCAGAGAGAAGGGAGAAGAAAGGCGCCGGCGAGGUUCUGAGGAGGACGGGAUGAAAGGCUCAUUUGUUCCUCAAAUAGUGAUCAGGCGCCUACUUUCAUUCCCGCCUGUGUCCGGCUGGGUGUGGGGCGCGGCUGUCCGCAUGGAGUCUGCACCUGGGGGCGGCCGAGAUGAAACAGCCAAGCGCGGGAGGACGGACAGCGGUCGGAGAGGCAGAGGGAGCAGGGCCUCCUUCACCUGCGCUAAAGGGUGAGGAGGCCGGGCGGCACCCCAGGGCCCUGCGGAUUCGGGGCCCUGAGCCUGGGAGGCUUUGGUGCCCUGGAGAAGCGAAGGAGGCUCAACAUGGGGACAUCGGGGAGGGGGACGCAAGGCCACCAGAGGGGUGGGCAGGACAGGGGCUCGGUCGGGCAGGCCUUUAUGGGUCCAGAUUGAGGUGUGUUUAUUUUUGUUUUGAUUACAUUUUUUUUAAAGGCAGGGUCUCACUGUGUAUCCCAAGCUGGCCUUUAACUCACCAUGUAGCCCAGGUUGGCCUGAAACUCACCAUGUAGCCCAGUCUGCCUCGAACUCACAGUGAUCCUCCUGCCUCGGCCUCCCGAGUGCUGGGAUUGCCAGUGUGCACCACCGCGCCCGGCUUGCUCCGUAUCCUGUAAAGAGAUCAGCAGAAGGAUCAUCCGGCAGCAGUGGGAAGAGGUUCUCAAAGAGCAGGUCAAACGGGCUGGAGGUGACAGGGCAGAGUCGCGGGCAGUCAGGAAGGGACAAAGUCGGAUCCAGCAGCCCUGGGCGAGGCUCUGGCUCUGGGGUCCGCUCGGACCGGUCUCCACUCUCCUUGGGCCUCGGCUCGCGCCCUCUCCGGAGGGGGUCACCCCACUCUCUGUGACCGAUCGCAGGGAGGAGCCGGGGAACCGCUGGGUCAGGGAGGCAGAAGUGCUUUGCUGAGAGCGCGGCCCAGCAGAAGCAGCCUUGCCUGCCCGCGCCCUCCUGCCACACUGGGAGGUGAGAGGCUGGGCAGAACAUAGGGCCCAAGCGAGG
rnacentral:lncRNA from 1 species